CCUACGGGAGGCAGCAGUGGGGAAUUUUGCGCAAUGGGGGCAACCCUGACGCAGCAACGCCGCGUGAGUGAUGAAGGCCUUCGGGUCGUAAAGCUCUGUCAGAGGGGAAGAAAUGCAGGUGGUGAACAACCAUUCUGUUUGACGGUACCCUCAAAGGAAGCACCGGCUAACUCCGUGCCAGCAGCCGCGGUAAUACGGAGGGUGCGAGCGUUGUUCGGAAUUAUUGGGCGUAAAGCGCGUGUAGGCGGUUUGUUAAGUCGGAGGUAAAAGCCCCGGGCUCAACCUGGAAAGUGCAUUGGAGACUGGCAGACUUGAGUACGGGAGAGGAGAGUGGAAUUCCCAGUGUAGGAGUGAAAUCCGUAGAUAUUGGGAGGAACACCGAUGGCGAAGGCAGCCCCCUGGGUUGGCACUGACGCUCAUGCACGAAAGCGUGGGGAGCAAACAGGAUUAGAUACCCUGGUAGU
rnacentral:rRNA from 1 species